rnacentral:rRNA from 1 species
UUCCGGUUGAUCCUGCCGGACCUGACUGCUAUCGGAUUGAUACUAAGCCAUGCGAGUCAUUGUAGCAAUACAAGGCAUACGGCUCAGUAACGCGUAGUCAACCUAACCUAUGGACGGGAAUAACCUCGGGAAACUGAGAAUAAUGCCCGAUAGAACACUAUACCUGGAAUGGUUUGUGUUCCAAAUGAUUUAUCGCCAUAGGAUGGGACUGCGGCCUAUCAGUUUGUUGGUGAGGUAAUGGCCCACCAAGACUAUUACAGGUACGGGCUCUGAGAGGAGUAGCCCGGAGAUGGGUACUGAGACACGGACCCAGGCCCUAUGGGGCGCAGCAGGCGAGAAAACUUUGCAAUGUGCGAAAGCACGACAAGGUUAAUCCGAGUGAUUUGUGCUAAACGAAUCUUUUGUUAGUCCUAGAAACACUAACGAAUAAGGGGUGGGCAAGUUCUGGUGUCAGCCGCCGCGGUAAAACCAGCACCUCAAGUGGUCAGGAUGAUUAUUGGGCCUAAAGCAUCCGUAGCCGGCUCUGUAAGUUUUCGGUUAAAUCUGUACGCUUAACGUACAGGCUGCCGGGAAUACUGCAGAGCUAGGGAGUGGGAGAGGUAGACGGUACUCGGUAGGAAGUGGUAAAAUGCUUUGAUCUAUCGAUGACCACCUGUGGCGAAGGCGGUCUACCAGAACACGUCCGACGGUGAGGGAUGAAAGCUGGGGGAGCAAACCGGAUUAGAUACCCGGGUAGUCCCAGCUGUAAACUAUGCAAACUCAGUGAUGCAUUGGCUUGUGGCCAAUGCAGUGCUGCAGGGAAGCCGUUAAGUUUGCCGCCUGGGAAGUACGUACGCGAGUAUGAAACUUAAAGGAAUUGGCGGGGGAGCACCACAAGUGGUGAAGCCUGCGGUUCAAUUGGAGUCAACGCCGGG